rnacentral:other from 1 species
AAGACCCUACCGUGUGCGAUGUGGUGCUGGUAACUUCUGUUCCAACACCAUAUGAAAGGGAGCCUGGUCUCCGGGUGCGGCGCGUAUGCCGCGGUGGUGCGGACACGCAAAACAUUCGGGAGGGCACCCACCUGCAGGGCGCAGGGAUAUGAGAUGUUACCGGUAAGACGGCACGGUGGGGUCUUC